rnacentral:rRNA from 1 species
AUCCUGGCUCAGGAUGAACGCUAGCUACAGGCUUAACACAUGCAAGUCGAGGGGCAGCAUUGGGAUAGCUGCUAUCCAGAUGGCGACCGGCGCACGGGUGAGUAACGCGUAUCCAACCUUCCCUAUAGUAGAGAAUAGCCCGGCGAAAGUCGGAUUAAUGCUCUAUGUUGUGUUUUGAGGACAUCUGACGAACACCAAAGGUUCACCGCUAUAGGAUGGGGAUGCGUCUGAUUAGCUUGUUGGCGGGGUAACGGCCCACCAAGGCGACGAUCAGUAGGGGUUCUGAGAGGAAGGUCCCCCACAUUGGUACUGAGACACGGACCAAACUCCUACGGGAGGCAGCAGUGAGGAAUAUUGGUCAAUGGGCGAGAGCCUGAACCAGCCAAGUAGCGUGCAAGGAUGACUGCCCUAUGGGUUGUAAACUGCUUUUAUCAGGGAAUAAAGUGCGGCACGUGUGCCGUUUUGUAUGUACCUGAUGAAUAAGGACCGGCUAAUUCCGUGCCAGCCGCCGC